rnacentral:rRNA from 1 species
GAUCAUGGCUCAGGACGAACGCUGGCGGUAUGCUUAACACAUGCAAGUCGAACGAGACGAGAUGGAAGGAUCCUUCGGGUGACGGAAAUCUUAGAAAGUGGCGAACGGGUGAGUAACGCGUGGGUAACCUGCCCUAUGGAAAGGAAUAGCCUCGGGAAACUGGGAGUAAUGCCUUAUAAUACAUUGAAGUCGCAUGGCUUUGAUGUUAAACGCUCCGGUGCCAUAGGAUGGACCCGCGUCCCAUUAGCUAGUUGGUGAGAUAACAGCCCACCAAGGCGACGAUGGGUAACCGGUCUGAGAGGGCGAACGGUCACACUGGAACUGAGACACGGUCCAGACUCCUACGGGAGGCAGCAGUGGGGAAUAUUGCGCAAAUGGGGGAAACCCUGACGCAGCAAUACCGCGUGAGUGAAGAAGGUUUUCGGAUCGUAAAGCUCUGUUAUUGGGGAAGAAAAAAGACGGUACCCAAGAAGAAAGUCCCGGCUAACUACGUGCCAGCCGCAGC